rnacentral:rRNA from 1 species
GACGAACGCUGGCGGCGUGCCUAAUACAUGCAAGUAGAACGCUGAAGGAGGAGCUUGCUUCUCUGGAUGAGUUGCGAACGGGUGAGUAACGCGUAGGUAACCUGCCUGGUAGCGGGGGAUAACUAUUGGAAACGAUAGCUAAUACCGCAUAACAGUAGAUAUCGCAUGAUAUCUACUUGAAAGGUGCAAUUGCAUCACUACCAGAUGGACCUGCGUUGUAUUAGCUAGUUGGUGAGGUAACGGCUCACCAAGGCGACGAUACAUAGCCGACCUGAGAGGGUGAUCGGCCACACUGGGGCUGAGACACGGCCCAGACUCCUACGGGAGGCAGCAGUAGGGAAUCUUCGGCAAUGGACGGAAGUCUGACCGAGCAACGCCGCGUGAGUGAAGAAGGUUUUCGGAUCGUAAAGCUCUGUUGUAAGAGAAGAACGAGUGUGAGAGUGGAAAGUUCACACUGUGACGGUAUCUUACCAGAAAGGGACGGCUAACUACGUG